rnacentral:rRNA from 1 species
GCAGCCUGAUCCAGCCAUACCGCGUGGGUGAAGAAGGCCUUCGGGUUGUAAAGCCCUUUUGUUGGGAAAGAAAUCCAGCUGGUUAAUACCCGGUUGGGAUGACGGUACCCAAAGAAUAAGCACCGGCUAACUUCGUGCCAGCAGCCGCGGUAAUACGAAGGGUGCAAGCGUUACUCGGAAUUACUGGGCGUAAAGCGUGCGUAGGUGGUCGUUUAAGUCUGUUGUGAAAGCCCUGGGCUCAACCUGGGAACUGCAGUGGAAACUGGACGACUAGAGUGUGGUAGAGGGUAGCGGAAUUCCUGGUGUAGCAGUGAAAUGCGUAGAGAUCAGGAGGAACAUCCAUGGCGAAGGCAGCUACCUGGACCAACACUGACACUGAGGCACGAAAGCGUGGGGAGCAAACA